rnacentral:misc_RNA from 1 species
GAUUUCUCCAGUGAACAAUCUUUCUGCAUGUGGUUAUGGGGUCAUCUGAGUAAAAAGGAGGGUAUCCAACUAGCAUUUCGUACAUUAUUGCUCCUAGUGACCACCAGUCACACUCCAUGCCAUAUCCUUUCUUCAGUAAUACUUCAGGAGCAAUGUAAUCUGGUGUUCCCACGGUAGAAAAUGCCAACUUCCUCCUGUUCAUUUGCCAGUGCUGAAGCUGUUCAUGGGGGCUUUUCCAAUUACUUAUAUUGUCAGCAUCAGGAAUACUUCCAUCAAUAUCCAUUGGUUCAGUCAUAUUUUCAUCAUCAAUUGUCUUAUUUUCAGGAAUCACAGAUAAAGCUGAACAAUCAAGAGGCUUACAAAGGCCAAAAUCAGAUAGCUUCAUAUGACCAUUUUUAUCCAGAAGAAGGUUGUCAGGCUUUAUAUCCCUGUGAAUGUAAUUAUGUUUGUGAAUUGACUCAAUUGCGAGAACACUUUGAGCAAUGUAAAACUUCGCCACAUUUU